rnacentral:misc_RNA from 1 species
AACGCAAGUUGCGCCCGGAGCCUUCUGGCCGAGGGCACGUCUGCCUGGGCGUCACGCAUCGCUGCCCCCCCAAGCAACACCCCAUGCGGGCUCGUUGCGCAGGCGGGGGCACACGCUGGCCUCCCGUGCGCACCGUCGCGCGGAUGGCUUAAAUUCGAGUCCUCGGCGCCCGUCGUCGCGACACUACGGUGGUUGAUCAAACCCUCGAUACCGUGUCGCGAUUCUGACGCCGCCUCCACGGACUCUUGAAUCGACCCUCUGAACGACGUCCCCCAAAGGACGACGCUCUCGACGCGACCCCAGGUCAGGCGGGACUACCCGCUGAGUUUAA